ACGCAUGCAGGUAUGCAUCUGAAAAACCAGCUGCUGCAGCUGAUUGGUUUGAGGUUUGCAGAUGACAGAUGACAUUGACUUUGAUGACUACCUCACCUGCAUCGUCCGUCUGGAGAACAUGUUCAGAACUUUCCAGGCCCUGGAUAAGUUUAACAGGGGCAGAGUACAAAUGAACAUGAUGCAGUUCCUUUUGUUGUCAAUGAACGUCUGAGAACCAGAUGGAAGCAGACGGCGCUGGAGGAGGAGCUGGAAGCAGCGACACAUCUCUCUAUUUGACUUUUUCCUUCUUUAAAUGCUUAACCGGUCAUUUAAUGACUAAAUGUGCACCGACGCGUUUAAGUGGUUGAACUUUGAAUUUUGCUGCUUUUUCUUCACUCGUUACCUGAAUGCAAGAAAAUUGUGAAUAAAAACAUUUAA